AUGGGAAUUAUCCCAUCAACAUCUGAAGCCGCGGCGUUCAUAUGCUGUGAGAUUGAGAGUCGGAUCGCGGUGUGUUACUAUGAUACUUACUAUGAAGAUGGAACUGGGUCUACGGUCACCGUCACAGUCGAUCCUAUGUCCAUGGUAUCCAAGAAUCCUCCUCUAAAAUCUUCUUAUUCUGAUGACGUCGUCACAUUAAGCUGCGAAUAUUUCGGGUUUUGUCCAUACACGAUACACUGGUACCGGCAGCUCCAAGCAAAGCCUCCAGAAUUUCUGCGCCAGACGCAUACCUCUGGAGAUCAGGAUCAGGAAAAUGCUGCCGAAGGACACUUCCUCGGUUCUCUCGAUCGGGAAAAUAAAAUCAGCAUGUUAAAGAUCUUCAAACUGCAAUUGAGCGACUCGGCUUUCUACCAAUGUGCCAUCAGUCGCCGAAGGGCACAGUGA